rnacentral:rRNA from 1 species
UUGAUGGGUUAAGGCUCCCAGUAGACGACUGGGUUGAUAGGCCGGAUCUGGAAGCACGGUAACGUGUGGAGGUGACCGGUACUAAUAGGCCGAGGGCUUGUCCUC